rnacentral:rRNA from 1 species
AGCAGCCGCGGUAAUUCCAGCUCCAAUAGCGUAUAUUAAAGUUGCUGCAGUUAAAAAGCUCGUAGUUGAAUUUCGGGACCAAUAUGUCGGUCGUGCCUCGGUACGUACUGGCAUCGUUGGUUUCUCCUUUCUGAAGAACCAUGAUGUCAUUUAUUUGGUGUCGUGGGGAAUCAGGACUGUUACUUUGAAAAAUUAGAGUGUUUAAAGCAGGCUCACGCUUGAAUACAUUAGCAUGGAAUAAUGAAAUAGGACGUUUGAUUCUAUUUUGUUGGUUUCUAGGAUCGACGUAAUGAUUAAUAGGGAUAGUUGGGGGCAUUAGUAUUCAAUUGUCAGAGGUGAAAUUCUUGGAUUUAUUGAAGACUAACUACUGCGAAAGCAUUUGCCAAGGAUGUUUUCAUUAAUCAAGAACGAAAGUUAGGGGAUCGAAGACGAUCAGAUACCGUCGUAGUCUUAACCAUAAACUAUGCCGACUAGGGAUCGGAUGAUGUUAAUUUUUAAUGA